UACGUAGGUGGCUAGCGUUGUCCGGAUUUACUGGGCGUAAAGAGCGCGCAGGCGGUCGUUCAAGUCGAGUGUGAAAGCCCCCGGCUCAACUGGGGAGGGUCACUCGAUACUGAUCGACUCGAAGGCAGGAGAGGGAAGCGGAAUUCCUGGUGUAGCGGUGAAAUGCGCAGAUAUCAGGAGGAACACCGGUGGCGAAGGCGGGUCUCUGGGCCGAUACUGACGCUGAGGUGCGAAAGCGUGGGGAGCAAACAGG
rnacentral:rRNA from 1 species